GGCACGCCUAACACAUGCAAGUCGAACGAAGUAGCAAUACUUAGUGGCAGACGGGUGAGUAACAUGUAGGUAUCUGCCCUUUGGCCUGGAAUAACACGAGGAAACUUGUGCUAAUACCGGAUAAGUCUUUACGGAGAAAGCUUUAUGCACCAUUGGAUGAGCCUGCACUUGAUUAGUUUAUUGGUGGGGUAAUGGCCUACCAAGACUGUGAUCAAUAGCUGAUUUGAGAGGAUGAUCAGCCACAUUGGGACUGAGACACGGCCCAAACUCCUACGGGAGGCAGCAGUGGGGAAUCUUGCACAAUGGAGGAAACUCUGAUGCAGCGAUGCCGCGUGAGUGAAGAAGGCCCUUGGGUUGUAAAGCUCUUUCGUCGGGGAAGAAAAUGACUGUACCCGAAUAAGAAGGUCCGGCUAACUUCGUGCCAGCAGCCGCGGUAAUACGAAGGGACCUAGCGUAGUUCGGAAUUACUGGGCUUAAAGAGUUCGUACGUGGUUGAAAAAGUUGGUGGUGAAAUCCCACAGCUUAACUCUGGAACUGCCAUCAAAACUUUUCA
rnacentral:rRNA from 1 species